GAAGGCGGUUUAGGGCGAGAAGAGGUGGCGCUCUGAGCGCUGAGCACUCACUUCUCCCUCAGCCCCGUACAACUCACAGGCUUGUCAACAAGGUGCUUCAGCUGUGUGGAGGAUUUGGUGCAGUGCUGAAGAUCAGCUGCAGCUCAGGGCUGGAGGGGCUGUGGCGCCUCACAGGAUUUAGUUUGUUUGUGAAAACAGGAGGAAUCUAUACUUUCCUUUGUUCAAGCAGCCUUAAAACGUCCCAGCGUUAGAUCUCAGAUUAAAAAAAACCAAAACAAACGUACCCACUGUUACUGUUGCCGGCUAUCAGCAUGGCUAAAUGAUCACAACACUGGAUGACCUGGACUGCAAUCCAGCCAAAGUUCAGAGAAG